AGCUCCAAUAGCGUAUAUUAAAGUUGUUGUGGUUAAAAAGCUCGUAGUUGGAUCUCGGCGGUCUGAGGGCGGUUCGCUUGAUUGAGUGCUACUGCUCUAUAGGCCGUGGUUUUGCCAGAGGUCUCGGGGUGCUCUUAACCGAGUGUCCUGCGAUGCUGGCAGGUUUACUUUGAAAAAAUUAGAGUGCUCAAAGCAGGCUUUUACGCCUGAAUAUUCGUGCAUGGAAUAAUAGAAUAGGAAGUCGUUUCUAUUUUGUUGGUUUUCGGAAAUCGACUUAAUGAUUAAUAGGGACAGUCGGGGGCAUUUGUAUUUCAUUGUCAGAGGUGAAAUUCUUGGAUUUCUGAAAGACGAACUACUGCGAAAGCAUUUACCAAGGAUGUUUUCA
rnacentral:rRNA from 1 species